AAGAGCAAAUUUUCAAUUCGUCCUAAGUAACAUUUUGAUUUUAUCGAGAAAAUCGAUAUCAAAGUUUUGGUUUUUAUUUUCAAUUCCUAUUUAACAACCAAGACGAAAUCAAUAUAAUAAAUACUCGCAAACGACAUUAGAUAAAAGCAUUUAUUGCUUCUCAAUGCGAAAUAUGGAUAAAGUUCAAAGAAACAUUAGUUUUUUGCAUUAAAACAAUUCUACGUCGUUUAGUGUCGGAAAACAUAAAUAGGACAUUUGGUUAAGUCCUUCUGAAACAUCUCGGUUACUUUCGUCGGGUGCGUUACGUCGCGUUACGCGAAUUUAUGUUGCUUUCGUCGGUGUGUUUACGUCAUGUUGCCAGCUGUCAUGUUGGUUAAGUCAUGUUACUUACGUCGUUGUGGUGAUUGAUGUUGGCACUUAAGUCAAACGAAUUCGUCUUGCAAAAACAGCUGUUUCCCAUGCAAGUAUAGCGCCACAGGCAAAUUUAGUAGCAGCCAGGACCUGGAUUAGGAGCGGAGAUUGCCCAUAUCGAUGGGGGCCCGAGCAAAGCCCAAGUUUGAUUCGAUUGCUCCAUACCCGUGCCCAGCAGCAGGAGCAGCGCUAUCUUUUUUCAUACGGGAACCGAUUUUCUUAGAAACCCCACGUAUUUUUGGCGACCCUCACAAACAGCAGCGGUUUCGACAACAAGCACCAAAGAACGACGGACACGAACAGACGGAAGCCUUCGUUGCGAAAUUGUACCUAAAUGAUCGAUGCAUCGGCGUUUAUUAAGAAUGCUCAGCUGCAGGACGUCGUCGAGCAUUGUUAUACC